GACGAACGCUGGCGGCGUGCUUAACACAUGCAAGUCGAACGGAAAGGCCCUGCUUUUGUGGGGUGCUAGAGUGGCGAACGGGUGAGUAACACGUGAGUAACCUGCCCUUGACUUUGGGAUAACUUCAGGAAACUGGGGCUAAUACCGGAUAGGAGCUCCUGCUGCAUGGUGGGGGUUGGAAAGUUUCGGCGGUUGGGGAUGGACUCGCGGCUUAUCAGCUUGUUGGUGGGGUAGUGGCUUACCAAGGCUUUGACGGGUAGCCGGCCUGAGAGGGUGACCGGCCACAUUGGGACUGAGAGACGGCCCAGACUCCUACGGGAGGCAGCAGUGGGGAAUAUUGCACAAUGGGCGGAAGCCUGAUGCAGCAACGCCGCGUGCGGGAUGACGGCCUUCGGGUUGUAAACCGCUGUCGCCUGUGACGAAGCGUGAGUGACGGUAAUGGGUAAAGAAGCACCGGCUAACUACGUG
rnacentral:rRNA from 1 species